UCUAUUAAAGUGUUUUUGCACAUAAAAAUUUGAUUUUUAUAGAGAUAUAUUCUAUCUAAUAGAA
rnacentral:tRNA from 1 species